rnacentral:rRNA from 1 species
UAGGGAAUCUUCCGCAAUGGACGCAAGUCUGACGGAGCAACGCCGCGUGAGUGAAGAAGGAUUUCGGUUCGUAAAACUCUGUUGUUAGAGAAGAACAGCGCAUAGAGUAACUGUUAUGCGUGUGACGGUAUCUAACCAGAAAGCCACGGCUAACUACGUGCCAGCAGCCGCGGUAAUACGUAGGUGGCAAGCGUUGUCCGGAGUUAUUGGGCGUAAAGCGAGCGCAGGCGGUCAAUUAAGUCUGAUGUGAAAGCCCCCGGCUCAACCGGGGAGGGUCAUUGGAAACUGGUUGACUUGAGUGCAGAAGAGGAGAGUGGAAUUCCAUGUGUAGCGGUGAAAUGCGUAGAUAUAUGGAGGAACACCAGUGGCGAAGGCGACUCUCUGGUCUGUAACUGACGCUGAGGUUCGAAAGCGUGGGUAGCAAACAGG